rnacentral:lncRNA from 1 species
AUGGGUAUCAGAUCAGGAAUGGACUUUGUCAAGGAUUGGGGACAUAGGACUGAUCCUGACCUUAGUGAGAGAUUUGACAAAGUAAUGGUCACAGGAUCAGGCCCAAGGGCAAGAUUGUGGCUUCUCAUAUGUGACUGUGCAAAGAAGGCAUCAGCAACAGGGGAACUGAGGAAAGAGAAGAGGAGAUGAGAGAAGCCUUGAUGAAGCCUCUCCAAACAGCACUUUCAUGGGUGUGUUUCCUUUUAUAUGGAGACAGAAGAGAUAGCAAGAGGGGCCUACAGAUGAAGAGAAAAAAUGUUAACAGAACAAAAUUUCAAAGCAAU